CUCGUAGGCGGUUCGUCGCGUCCGGUGUGAAAGUCCAUCGCUUAACGGUGGAUCCGCGCCGGGUACGGGCGGGCUUGAGUGCGGUAGGGGAGACUGGAAUUCCCGGUGUAACGGUGGAAUGUGUAGAUAUCGGGAAGAACACCAAUGGCGAAGGCAGGUCUCUGGGCCGUUACUGACGUUGAGGAGCGAAAGCGUGGGGAGCGAACA
rnacentral:rRNA from 1 species